rnacentral:rRNA from 1 species
UACGGAGGGUGCGAGCGUUGUCCGGAAUCACUGGGCGUAAAGGGCGCGUAGGUGGCGGGACAAGCGUGCGGUGAAAGCCUGGGGCUCAACCCCGGGUCGGCCGUGCGAACUGUUUUGCUUGAGCACUGUAGAGGCAGGCGGAAUUCCGGGUGUAGCGGUGGAAUGCGUAGAGAUCCGGAAGAACACCGGUGGCGAAGGCGGCCUGCUGGGCAGUAGCUGACACUGAGGCGCGACAGCGUGGGGAGCAAACAGGG